rnacentral:rRNA from 1 species
UACGGAGGAUCCGAGCGUUAUCCGGAUUUAUUGGGUUUAAAGGGUGCGCAGGCGGGAGAUUAAGUCGGCGGUGAAAUUUUGCAGCUCAACUGUAAAAGUGCCUUCGAAACUGGUUUCCUUGAGUGUAGAUGAAGUAGGCGGAAUUUGUGGUGUAGCGGUGAAAUGCAUAGAUAUCACGAGGAACUCCGAUUGCGCAGGCAGCUUACUAAACUACUACUGACGCUCAGGCGCGAAGGCGUGGGGAUCAAACAGGAUUAGAUACCCGCGUAGU